rnacentral:rRNA from 1 species
AAAGAUCUAAGAAAAUUUAUUAGUUUUUGUAUCAAAAAAAUUGAAAAAGUUUUUUUAGUUGUAAAAUUCCAAUCGCUUUUAUUAAUAUCUAGUAACUUCAGAAAUAAAUUUAGUUUAGGAUGUGAAGAAUAUCUUUAUUUUAAAGAAGUUUUAAUUUCAUUCUUAAAUUUUAGGGGAUGAGCUCUAAAAUUAAAAUAUAAGAAUUUAUAUUUUUAAGUUUUUUAUAGGCUUAGAAUUAGCCACUUGAUAGUGUUAUAAAAUAAAAUUUUAAGUUUUAGAUUUAAUUUUCUUUCAUUUAUAUAUGAAGUUUAUUUUAAAAUUUAUAAAAAUGUGAAAAUAUGAUAGCAUUAGUAGAUAAAAUUAUAAUGAAUAAAAUUUAAAUUUUUCUAAAUUUUUUAAUUUAUAAAAAUUAGUAAAAGAACUCGGCAAAUAAAAUUUCCGAAUGUUUAUCAAAAACAUUUCCUCUUAGAAUAGGAGGUAAGGCCUGCUCACUGAUAAAUUUAAAGAGCCGCAGUAUCCUAACUGUGCUAAGGUAGCAUAAUCAUUAGUCUUUUAAUUGAAGACUGGUAUGAAUGGCUUAACGAGAAAUUGACUUUUUUUACUAUUCAAAUUGAAUUUAAUUUUUUAGUGAAAAAGCUAAAAUGUAUCAGAAAGACGAGAAGACCCUAUAGAGUUUUAUUUCGAUUUACAUUUUUUCUUAAUAGAUUUUUCAAAGAAUAAAUUUAAUUAGAUAUUUUGUUGGGGCGACAUUAAGAUAUAAAAAACUCUUUAUUUUUAAAAUUUUUAUAAAAAUAUUUUAUGAUCCUCUAAAAGGGAUCAAAAGAAAAAAUUACCUUAGGGAUAACAGCGUAAUCUUUUUUGAGAGUUCUAAUCGACAAAAAGGUUUGCGACCU